GGCCUAUCAGCUUGUUGGUGAGGUAACGGCUCACCAAGGCUAUGACAAGUAUCGGGUGUGAGAGCAUGGCCCGACUCACUGGGACUGAGACACUGCCCAGACUCCUACGGGAGGCUGCAGUCACGAAUCUUCCUCAAUGGACGAAAGUCUGAAGGAGCGACGCCGUGUGCAUGAUGAAGCCCUUUGGGGUGUAAAGUGCUUUUUUCUGGGAAGAAUUUUGACGGUACCAGAAGAAUAAGGGGCUGCUAAACUCGUGCCAGCAGCAGCGGUAAUACGAGUGCCCCGAGUGUUAUCCGGAUUUAUUGGGCGUAAAGCGUCCGCAGGUUGUUUGAUGCAUCUUUUGUUAAAUCUCAAGGCUCAACCUUGAGGCUGCGAGAGAUAUGGUCAGACUAGAGGCUGGAAGAGGCAAACGGAAUUGCUGGUGUAGGGGUUAAAUCCGUUAAUAUCAGCAGGAACACCAAAAGCGAAGGCAGUUUGCUGGGACAGUCCUGACACUCAUGGACGAAAGCGCGGGGAGCGAACGGGAUUAGAUACCCCGGUAGUCCGCGCCGUAAACGAUGGAUGCUAAGCAUUGGGAGUAUCGACCCUUUCAGUGCUGUUUAUUUAAGCUAACGCCUUAAGCAUCCCGCCUGGGGAGUACGG
rnacentral:rRNA from 1 species